CUGCUCUUGACACUGACCAUCACCGUCAUCUUCCUGCUCUCCUUCAUCAUCCUCUUCAUCCUGUCUGAAGACACACACCUCAAGAGAAGGGGGUGCGAUGGAGAACGUUUCGGCCCCGACAGAUCCAGACUGUGACUCUGGCUCCGGUUCUGAUGCCAUUUCUCAGCUCAGCACUGGGGUGCCAGCCCGAGAGACAGACAGGUUUGGCUUCAUCCUGGGAACCGGACUUUCUUCAGACUGUGAAGGGCCGCCUCCUGAGGUCAUCCGUCAGAGAGAGGUCAAAUGGCUGGAGAUCAUCAGCCACUGGGACCGCUUCCUACUGAAGAAAAGCAGCAAGGUCAAAAGUCAGUGCCGGAAAGGUAUCCCACCAUCCCUUAGGGCCAGAUGUUGGCCACUCCUCUGUGCUGCCACUGCAAAGAUGAGCACAUAUAACAAAAUAUACGAGGUAUACUGUAUGUCCAGGUAGUCCCAGCUACCAGAGUCCUGUCAGUCAGUGUGUCUGUACUGUAU